CGUGCCCCUAGAGGCCUUGCAGAUGUGGCUGCUGUGUCACAUGAUGUGUCACAUCAGUAGGUGGCAGAGAGGAGAGAAGCUAUGUCUAGGCUCAGUGUUCUGACCUGAAAACAUAUGAGUGAUAAGUAGGCUCCUGAA